rnacentral:rRNA from 1 species
GUGAGGAAUAUUGGUCAAUGGGCGAGAGCCUGAACCAGCCAAGUCGCGUGAAGGAAGAAGGAUCUAUGGUUCGUAAACUUCUUUUGCAGGGGAAUAAAGUGCGGGACGUGUCCUGUUUUGUAUGUACCCUGAGAAUAAGGAUCGGCUAACUCCGUGCCAGCAGCCGCGGUAAUACGGAGGAUCCGAGCGUUAUCCGGAUUUAUUGGGUUUAAAGGGUGCGUAGGUGGGUUGAUAAGUCAGCGGUGAAAGUUUGCAGCUUAACUGUAAAAAUGCCGUUGAAACUGUCGGACUUGAGUGUAAAUGAGGUAGGCGGAAUGCGUGGUGUAGCGGUGAAAUGCAUAGAUAUCACGCAGAACUCCGAUUGCGAAGGCAGCUUACUAAGCUACAACUGACACUGAAGCACGAAAGCGUGGGGAUCAAACAGGAUUAGAAACCCCAGUAGUCC